UCCUUUCUCCAUUUUAAUUACCACCCCUCUCUCACCAGCAGAGUUUGCCUAUUAAAGGCCAAUCUCUCUUGAUUUCUUUGCUUUAAAAGGACAUUUCGAUUCACCCAGGCAGACAAUUAAAUCCCCCUCGAGCCUCUCCCUUCCCAGAGCUCCAGAACAAGAUGAGUCCCUAUCUCCUCACAGCAUCGAGCUGAGAGAAGAAGUUGAUCUCAGGUGCUCACCUGCAGUUAUCAGAAUGCCAGACUCAUUUAGGGAGCUCAACUCUGGACCCUGAGGCGAUCCCUUCAUUGAUUGUGGAAAGCGCUGUUUAGAUUUUGCCCCUGCUCAGUAAACAACUAAAAGUAACUGCGCGAUUUCUGCCUUGCAUUCAUCGAACACUCUCUCUCUCUCUCUCCCUCUCUCUCUCUCUCUCUCUUACACACACACACACACACACACACACACAGCUCCUAUUAAUCAUGAAGGAACAGUCAGAUCACAAUGCCUUUAUAAUAUGCUUAGCUAAUCCCCCCACCCCCCAGCAGCUGGGUCUUCUGGGGGAUGCUAUGCCUUCCUCCGAAGAUUCACAGAUCCCCAGAAGGACACACCCUCCCAAAUCCCUAAGACUGUAGGGACCUGAGAAAACGGUGCCUCUUUGGAUCCCCUACUCUGCAACCUCUGAAAGUCCACACCUGCCUAAAAUACUUACCAGGGACUUCCUAGGGCCACUCCUCUCUCUCACCUCCCUUCCCCCACACGAAGUCCUCUAGAGUUCUCAGUUGGUCUUUGAUAAGCCUGUUGCAGCUCAGACUCAGAGAAACAAAGUUGGGGGUGGGGGCACAUUAACUGUCUACAGAGUUGGAGGCAGUUUCUGGAUAAAGCAACCAUGGUACUCCAGGGAGUGAAUUAAAAUGGCAAACUCACUCUCUGAUCAUCAAACUUAAGAUCCUUAAGGAGAUCGCAUUUACUCCUCAGUUACUAACAGAAAAAAAAGAAAAGAUGUUCACUACUG
rnacentral:lncRNA from 1 species